rnacentral:snRNA from 1 species
CUACAGGUGCAAGGGCAAUAACGAUCGCAGUGAGGACUUGUCCGAGGUCAGUACCGUACCCCCGAACCCUUCAAAUGUCCACGACACUCACUAAUACCUCGCAGCGUCGUUUUUUGCUAGUUGAAAACUAUCAACUGACUGCUCCUGUUGGCUUCGUGUCGGCAGGGAAUUUUUGGCAAACCUCAAUACCACCGUACAGGCGGGU